rnacentral:rRNA from 1 species
AACGUAAGACCAACCUGCCGAAAGACCGGGACAACGUUUCGAAAGAGGCGCUAAUACCGGAUGUGACCUGCGGAUGACAUCAUUUGCAGAUUAAAUCAUUUAUGGCUUUCGGAGGGGCUUGCGGCCUAUCAGCUAGAUGGUGGGGUAAUGGCCUACCAUGGCGACGACGGGUAGCUGGUCUGAGAGGAUGGUCAGCCGGAUUGGGACUGAGAUACGGCCCAG